CCUGGCUCCUGUUUUACUAACGGAGUAGAAUCCGAAGCCUAUUGAAGGCUACACAGGCUCUCCUACUCAACUCCAAUGCCGUAACGUCCUCGUCGUACAUAAUUGCAUCUUGUACCACCGUAUUUCCAAGCAUGAGUGCACGAACUAGUUCCAACCCUUUUAAUGAUUAAUCACUCCUUUGGCACCGUGACUAAGCUUACCAGACUAUUGAGAAUG
rnacentral:ribozyme from 1 species